GGGUUGCUGGAAAAGUCAUGACAUUAACCCCAUAUACACCUCAGCCCAGGCUCCUUGCCCGGUCUGCAUUGUGAAUGGGGGAACAUGU
rfam:Erinaceus europaeus unplaced genomic scaffold scaffold00049, whole genome shotgun sequence